rnacentral:misc_RNA from 1 species
CAAACAACAUAAUUUGUUGAGAACUGAUUAUUGCAAUUCUAAAAUUACAAAUACUGUUAUAAUAAAUCACAGCCAUUUUUUGAGUUUUAAAAUGAGCGUAAUAUGGGCAAUGUUACAGAACCAAAUGUUCAAUUAGCUAUUACUUAGCCUAAACAUAACUGAAGACAUAUUACCAGAUAAAGCAUAAUGUCUUUUUGAUGGACAAACUGCUUUUGAGUCAUCAAUUUGGUGGAGUUAGCCUAAUAAACAAACAAGAGUUGUCAUCUUGGAACUAGUCCAUCAACAUCAUGUUCUAGAAUUCCAACUAAUGAUUUUUUUUUUUCCUUUUGUUG